rnacentral:rRNA from 1 species
GACGAACGCUGGCGGCGUGCUUAACACAUGCAAGUCGAACGGAAAGGCCUGCUUUCCCUUGUGGAUUGCGGGUACUCGAGUGGCGAACGGGUGAGUAACACGUGAGUGAUCUGCCCCCAACUUGGGUAUAAGCCUGGGAAACUGGGUCUAAUUCCCGAUAGGACUGCAGGGUGGUGCCUGUGGUGGAAAACGAUUUUCUAGUGGUUGGGGAUGAGCUCGCGGCCUAUCAGCUUGUUGGUGGGGUAAUGGCCUACCAAGGCGGCGACGGGUAGCCGGCCUGAGAGGGUGGACGGCCACAUUGGGACUGAGAUACGGCCCAGACUCCUACGGGAGGCAGCAGUGGGGAAUAUUGCACAAUGGGCGGAAGCCUGAUGCAGCGACGCCGCGUGGGGGAUGACGGCCUUCGGGUUGUAAACUCCUUUCGACCGCGAGGAAGCCACCUGGUUGGAAGGGUGGUGACGGUAGUGGUAGAAGAAGCACCGGCUAACUACGUGC